rnacentral:rRNA from 1 species
UACGUAGGGGGCAAGCGUUGUCCGGAUUUAUUGGGCGUAAAGAGCGUGUAGGCGGCCAGGUAGGUCUGCUGUGAAAACUCGAGGCUCAACCUCGAGACGUCGGCGGAAACCAUCUGGCUAGAGUCCGGAAGAGGAGAGUGGAAUUCCUGGUAUAGCGGUGAAAUGCGCAGAUAUCAGGAAGAACACCCGUGGCGAAGGCGGCUCUCUGGGACGGUACUGACGCUGAGACGCGAAAGCGUGGGGAGCGAACAGG